rnacentral:rRNA from 1 species
GACGAACGCUGGCGGCGUGCCUAAUACAUGCAAGUCGAACGAGGGGCGGACGAGUGAGUAACACGUGGGAACCUACCCAUCAGAGGGGGAUAACUACUGGAAACUGUGGCUAAUACCGCAUACUAUCGGAUGCACCCAUAUGGGAUUAGCUAGUAGGUGGGGUAAAGGCUCACCUAGUCGACGAGCUCUAGCGGGUCUGAGAGGAGGAUCAGCCACACUGGGACUGAGACACGGCCCAGACUCCUACGGGAGGCAGCAGUGGGGAAUAUUGCACAAUGGGCGCAAGCCUGAUGCAGCCAUGCCGCGGGUAUGAAGAAGGCCUUAGGGUUGUAAAGUACUUUCAGCGGGGAGGCGUUACCCGCAGAAGAAGCACCGGCUAACUCCGUGCCAGCAGCCGCGGUAAUAC